GCCUCCAGGAUGGGGUGAACUUCUCCCUGUUCUUCAGAUCUUCUCCUGGCUGUGUCCCUGGAGCCCAAAGGCACCCCUGAGUCUUUGCUGAAUGGACGUAGAAGAGUGCAAGUCCACAGACACCCUGCUGGGACCUGGCUUCUCAGGCUCAGGGAAUUUCGACUUGGUUGGAAGUUAGAAUUACCCGGUGUCCAGCCAGGUCCCAGAGGCUCCCAAGCACCCCAGUAAUCUCAGCGCCCCCAGGUGGGGCUCAUGUGCGACCAGCACAGGUCCAGCUCCCUUUCAUGUUCUACUGUUACGGAGCAGCCGGACAUCCUUCUCCCCCUAACACUACCAGAUGCCUUAGGUUCCUUCCCACAGAGUGACCCCCUUUCUGAGAAAGUUCCAGAAGCCAUCUUGCACCUGCCUCCCCCGGUGAUCAGGUCCUUAUGCACAGCCCCGAGCAACGAAUCUUUGGAAGUGAGGAAGAAGCCCUGGAGGAUGGCAUCCUGGCAUCUGGGGAGCGCUGGCAGGUGCUGGCACUGAAGCUUUGGGGUCAGUGCUCAAGAAGGCCAAGAGGACAGGCAUCCAGAAGCAUCCAGAACCUGCCCUGGAACAGCAGCCUAGGAAGGCAGGGACCAAGACGGGAGCUUCCCAGCGCUGUAAUUGUUCCUCAGUUGACCUGAAUCCUUGCACAGGCCAGGGGCGACGUGCAGAGAGGGAGAGAAGUAAGAACAAAACCUGGGAGAUCCAGCAGGGCUGGGUCCCAAGGACUGGCUGGGUCCUGAGGACGGGCUUCCUCUCUCCAACGACAAUAACCCCUGGGAAGCCGACAAGUGAGAAGCGGCCUUUCCUCUGCGCCAGGACCCACGUAUGUCCGCGCGUAUCUCUGAGGGGAUCGCCUGCCCGGGAAACCCGAGACCAGGACAUUUCAGUGUCAGCGCGAGAUGCGUCCAUAUUUGCCAACAAGUGGGGAAAAAAGCUGUUCCGUAGGAUCCCGGGUUUGCACGGCGCGGCCUCCGCGGUGUCGCCUUCCCCCCUUGUCUCCCCGGCAAUCAUCUUAAAUUCUACUCAAAACAAAGCACUCCCUGUUGGCAGUUAGUCCUCAA